ensembl:scaRNA
ACUGGAGGACUGAUAAGAUGGGGUCUGAAGAGUGAGACUCGAUUAAUACUGUCCUCCUAAAAAGAAAGGAUUGGAGAGAGCCGUCCUGCUUGCAGAGAAGUACAGGACUGACUGCACCAUCCGACAUGA